CUUGGCACCUAGCAAGCACUCA
rnacentral:miRNA from 6 species